CAGGGAGACAACAAAAUGUUAAAUAUUAAUUUUGUCACCUUAGGUCGAUCGGUAUCUCACAUUCUUAAUUUAUUAAGGAUUUUAUUUCCUAAGUUUUUUCUAGGUCACACCCAUUACUUUUCCUGGGCCAUUAGCUCAGGUGGUUAGAGCGCACCCCUGAUAAGGGUGAGGUCCCUGGUUCAAGUCCAGGAUGGCCCAUAUCUCUAUGUUGGGGGUAUAGCUCAGUUGGUAGAGCGCCUGCUUUGCAAGCAGGAUGUCAGCGGUUCGAGUCCGCUUACCUCCACUGAUUACCACCUCUUCCAUAAUUUUUGGAAUGGAAAUGUUUUGAGUUGUGAUCAAAUUCUUAACGAAUCUAGCUUCCUAAUUUUCUUAAUUAAGAUGCUGGACUCAUUGAAUUAAUUUCUUUGUUUUCAGAGAACCUUGACAACUGCAUAGAUUAUUUUUAAAGACAAUAAGCAUCUUUAAUGAUGCAGAUUUAUUAUUUAUGCGAAUGCAUUAAUAACAAUUCUAUUAAGCUGAUGCUUCAAUUAUUGAAGUUAUU
rnacentral:tRNA from 1 species